rnacentral:rRNA from 1 species
GACGAACGCUGGCGGCGUGCUUAACACAUGCAAGUGGAGCGACGAACCAGGGCUUGCCCUGGGGCAAAGCCGCGAACGGGUGAGUAUCACGUGGGUAACGUGCCCCGAUGACCGGGACAACCCGAGGAAACUCGGGCUAAUACCGGAUGUGCUGUUCGGUCGUAAGACCGUCCAGUAAAGGAAGCUUCGGCCUCCGCAUUGGGAGCGGCCCGCGGCCCAUUAGCUUGUUGGUGAGGUAAAGGCUCACCAAGGCAACGAUGGGUAGCUGGUCUGAGAGGACGAUCAGCCACACUGGGACUGAGACACGGCCCAGACUCCUACGGGAGGCAGCAGUGGGGAAUCUUGCGCAAUGCGCGAAAGCGUGACGCAGCAACGCCGCGUGAGGGAAGAAGGCCUUCGGGUUGUAAACCUCUUUCAGUUGGGACGAAGGUUCAGGCGCGAAUAGCGACCUGGACUGACGGUACCUUCAGAAGAAGCUCCGGCUAACUACGUGCCAGCCGCCGCCGUAAAAC